AUACUUAGCAAUGAUCUCCUUCAAACUUUGUUUAGCCAGUCUCUUACUCAGUGAAACUAAGCUGACUACUCCAUCUAAAAGUACUUCUUUUUAAAUUUUAUUUAUUUAUUUAUUUAUUUAUUUAUUUUGCAAAGAUGGCAGAACUGUGAAGACGGAAGCUCCUGCCCUUCUAGGUUGUAGUUUAAAAUGCCUGUGUGGAUGUUGUGCAUGUGCAAUGGUGUUUGGGGUGUCGGUGACCCCAACUCUGGAGGAAGGGUCUGGGUGGCUCUAGGGAAGACAGUUCUGUAUCCCUGACUGCAGAUGACAUUCUUUACCUACAAGGACUGCAGUGAGGCCACCUGGAGCAAAGGUCCCAGCAUGAGUGGUCCUGGAGAGAGCCGAGGGGAGACCUAUGCCUUUGUCCUGGGCAGCCCAUAAUUUCUGUGUGGUAUGAUUUUUUUCUCGUGCUCCAUGUCUCUUCUUUCACUUCUGCCAUUUUAAAUGCCAGGAAAAUGUUUGGUAUGGAUAAAGGUCUGGUGCCUCUCUAGCUAUUCAAGCAGUGCUUUCUCACCUACGGGAUCGCUAUCUGGAGAACAGCCCCUGAAACCGGUGCACACUGAAGCAGAGGCUGUGUCUGUGACCGCAGCCAAAGCUUUCCUCUCAAGUGCUUGGGACUGGGCAGAUAGAUACAGUUUGCCUUCCUCUGUGUGUCUUGCCACUGUUGCUACUUUCACUGUGAUUGACGCCACAUCCGUGUAGCAUUUCCCAGAGUGUGAGGAAUAAAGCAAGCCUUGACCCUGCCUCUUCAGUGUGGGUAGCUGGCAGAAGAGGAAGAAGCUGGCCUUCAGUGUCUGUGCGACACUACCCAUCCCUGUAGUCAGCCCUCUGUAAGGGGCUCGAGUUUCAAAUCUGCAGAUUGAUUUUGAGUUCGCUUUAGGCAGGGUUUCUAUGAAGCACGGUGACCAUGUUAGUCACUCUGAGGGUCAGAAAGUGCACUUGCUUUUCUUGACCCAUUUUGAAACUGGAAGACAGUUAUUAAUAUAAGGCUGCAGACACGCCUUCUUAAUAUUGAUGACUGAUGAAAACUUCCGGCUAUGGUAUCUUCAGGAAUUUUAUAAUUAUUUUCUCCUGGGGGCUGGAGAGACAAAAGUGUGGAGAGCUGAGUUCAAGUCUUAGCUCCCACAUAAAAACCUGAGCACGGUAGCACAUUCCAAUCCUAACAUUAGGGAAGUGGAGACAGACGUGUCCUUGGAGCUUGCUGGCCAGCCAUUCUGAACUAGUCACAAAAAAUAAGAUGGAGGGUGACUUCCUUCUCAUCUCCACGUGUAUACAGACAGACGUACCCACAUACAGAAAGACAUACCUUCAGACAAAAAAAUAAAAUAAAAGGUCAACUUUUUAAAACUCCACCUUCCUUGGGAAUUGUGACAUCUGGGGAGAACCUAGCGAGUCUGUCCCUGUUACUGUGCUCUGCGGAGGGUGGCCUUCUGAAGAGGAUAUGCAGAGGGAACCUUCCUGUGGUGAGUAGGAACAGGCCUCCUGGGUAGACUCUACUGGGUCCUUUGAAGGUCGGCCUCACUGGAACAAUGGUAGCCAGACUGGUGACUUCUCCAUAUUCAAGCAAGAUUGACUCCCUGUCAAAGGAGGUUUUUAAGUAAUUUCCUUCCCCAGGGGGUGGAGCAGCUGCGAGCCAAACAUUAGCUUCGGGCCUUUUAAAAAUAGAGGCUGAUGCAUUUCAGAAGUGCUUACCCUCUGAAUAGUCAAGUGGAAGCAUGGGUAUAUCUUAAAGUGUUUAUCUAACCCUCGUGGGAGAUGGGGGUACAGGGAGAGAGUGAGAUGAGGUGGAGGAGGAGGAGGAGGAGGAGGAGUGGGGAGGAAGAUGAGGAGGGAGAGGUGGAGGAUGAGCGAGGAGGGAGAAGGGGGAAAGGAUGGGGGAGGGGGAAAAAGAAGGAGGAAGAUGGAGAAGAGCUUUGCACAAAAUGUUCCUAAGGAUAAAGAAGGUCUGUUGCUUCUGUUCUAUAGUGUGGUGGGCUGAGUGCGAGUCAUUUCCACUGCUGUGUGGGUCGGGGCUGGUGUAUUCAUUGGCUACCUUCUGAAUGUGUGUGUGUGUGUGUGUGUGUGUGUGUGUGUGUGUGUGUGUGUGUGUGCGCGCGCGCGCACACAUGGUAGAGGGCUAGUCUGAGGAUGGGCAAGCUUUUGGUAGCGGCCAGUACACACCUAUGCUGGAACUCUGCUGUGCUAGCGGGAUCUCCCCGUGGUUUAUGAUUGCAUGGAGCAUGCAGGAAAGCUCACAGAAAGUUGCAGAUGCUGAAAUGCGAUAGAGACCUGACUCCCUGAAUGAGAGAUCAGCUCAGAGGAACCCCACAGGCAUCACCCCGUUGCUGUGAUACAAAUCCCUGAGAGAAAUACCUGAAGAGGGAGGGAGGGAGAACUGAUGGGUGCAUUCCUGUAUCUCAGGAUUUGCCAGGGUGAGGUCUCUAAGGCUCAAGAGUUCCAAGCCACUCUGAGCUACACAGCCAGCAAGACUCUGCCAUUAAAAAC
rnacentral:lncRNA from 1 species